AACGAACGCUGGCGGCAUGCCUAACACAUGCAAGUCGAACGAAGCCUUCGGGCUUAGUGGCGCACGGGUGCGUAACGCGUGGGAAUCUGCCCCUUGCUUCGGAAUAACAGUUAGAAAUGACUGCUAAUACCGGAUGAAGUCUUCGGACCAAAGAUUUAUCGGCAAGGGAUGAGCCCGCGUAGGAUUAGGUAGUUGGUGGGGUAAAGGCCUACCAAGCCGACGAUCCUUAGCUGGUCUGAGAGGAUGAUCAGCCACACUGGGACUGAGACACGGCCCAGACUCCUACGGGAGGAAGCAGUGGGGAAUAUUGGACGAUGGACGCAGGUCUGAUCCAGCAAUGCCGCGUGAGUGAUGAAGGCCUUAGGGUUGUAAAGCUCUUUUACCAGGGAUGAUAAUGACAGUACCUGGAGAAUAAGCGCCGGCUAACUCCGUG
rnacentral:rRNA from 1 species